CACUUAGAUGUCCUGGGCCGCACGCGCGCUACACUGAUGCAUGCAACGAGUUUAUAACCUUGGCCUGAAAGGUCUGGGUAAUCUUUUGAACGUGCAUCGUGAUAGGGAUAGAUUAUUGCAAUUGUUAAUCUUGAACGAGGAAUUCCUAGUAAACGCGAGUCAUCAGCUCGCAUUGAUUACGUCCCUGCCCUUUGUACACACCGCCCGUCGCACCUACCGAUUGAAUGGUUCGGUGAAGAUCUCGGACUUCGAUAUUUAUUCUUUAUUGAGUUUAUAUUGUGGGAAGUUAUCUAAACCUCAUCAUUUAGAGGAAGGUGAAGUCGUAACA
rnacentral:rRNA from 1 species